rfam:Melampsora larici-populina 98AG31 unplaced genomic scaffold MELLAscaffold_17, whole genome shotgun sequence.
GACUUGAUGGCGCAAUGGUAGCGCGUCCGACUCCAGAAAUGGCUCCAUCGGAAGGCUGCGUGUUCAAGUCACGUUCGGGUCA